AUACACCUACGUAGAGUGCGGUUAGGAUGCUUAUGGAAGCACGGAGGGCUCCAUACUUUCACUUUGUUUUCGAUGUUCGGACUUUCGAAUCGAUGAUCGGCUCCGUUAGACUUGAUCUAGAGUAUUUGAAGUAUCUAGAAAAUAAAUUUUGCGAUUUUUCGAUAUCGUUUGCCUAGUGAUCGAAGUGGCUCAAAAUCAACGGCUGAAAAUAAAAAUUUUAUAAAAUAUGAUGAUAUGACAUUAAAAUUUUAGAUCAAAGUUAUUGAUCUUGUUUUAUAUGGUAUAAAGAAUUUUCUAUCAAAAUUUCAUGUGAUUUGGAUAUUUCUACACCGUUAAACUUGCAACCGGCUCACCACGGCCGUUAAAAUUAUUGAUUUUGAGCCCCUUCGAUAACUAGGCAAAUGAUAUCGAAAAAUCGUAAAAUUUAUUUUCUGGGUACUUCAAAUACUCUAGAUCAACUCUAACAGAGCCGAUCGUCGAUUCGAAAGUCCGAACAUCGAAAACAACUUGGAAGCACGGAGGCCUCCGUACUUCCAUAAGCAUACCUCCACAACUCCACCUAUGUAUAUAUAAGUGUAAAUUUCACAUCCCACUAAUUUGAAAAUUCACAAUUUUUUUAAAAAUUUUUAAUAUUAAAUUAUUAUUUAAUAAAACUAAGAAAAAUAUAUCAAUUUUAAAGUGUUUAGAUAAUAUUAUUCUUUUAAAUAUUUUCAACUGAAUCUUACCAUCACCCUCCAAUUUUUUUUUUAACCAUUUCAAAUAGGGUCAACUGCAUACAGGUUUUGACAAAUAUAGUGAAUUAUAAACAUAUAUUCCUACAAAGUUCAAUUUGUACAUAUUGUCCCUAUAAAAAUCUUUGAUACUUUCAAAUAUAUUUCUGUCGUUAGAAUCUGUUAGAAAAAAAUUUAGUUAACGGUAGUUAGUUAAUGAGAUGAAUUGACAUUUUUAUCUUUUUUUUAAUUAACAGUUAUAUUUUUAGAUUAGACAUAUAUUUAUAAUAACAAAGAUAUUAUUUUAUUUAUAAAAUAGAUAGUGAUUAGAGAUACCAAAUCAGAAAGAUAUAUUUAAAAAUAUUAAAAUUUGUAUAAAAAUAAUAUAUAAAAAUUAAAUUUUAUAAAAAUAUAUUUAAUAUAUUUGUAAGGAUCUGUAUAAACGGUUU
rnacentral:lncRNA from 1 species